rnacentral:lncRNA from 1 species
AAGUCUGCACUGAUUCACAGGAAAUUAUAAACAUGCUACACCAUGGAAACUUACUUUAUGAUUCAGUUGGCUUUGAAUGGAGGUUACUACUAAGGAGCAUGGGGAAUCCUCCAGUCUACCACACCUAUCGGGAGCAGAAUAGGGUAGCUGACUUGAUGGCAAAGCAAGGCUCAGAGCAGGAUCUUUUUGACAGACUACAUGUUUUUGCAACUUCACCUGUUAGUGUAGGAGUAGUAUU